AUCUCAGGACUGAACUAAUUGGAAAAAAGGGGAGACGGACUUUUUACCAAACUCUGAGCCUAAAGCUUGGACAUCUGAACCCAGCAUCAAACUAUUUAUUUUAUUUAUUUAUUUCCCUCCUUCAUUGUUGGGAGCUGAAGUGUGAGGUCGCCUCUCCUCCUCAGGGAACAGAGAUGCGGUCCCUGAUCCAGAUGUUCGCCUGUUGCAUCAGCCUGCUCCCCCUCCAGCUGUCGGCUCUGCCGGCCCGGGAGCGAGCCGACACCCGCAGUCUGGACCAGAAAGAAGAGAUAGGAAGCCAAGCUAACAGCGUCACAUCUUCAGCCCACGCCCAACCACCAAAAUGGCUGCCUGGUUUCCUGAGACACCCCCCGGCAUCAGGAGUGAGACUAGCCUCACCUGGCCUGGCCUGGGCGCAGCCUGCUGAGG